rnacentral:rRNA from 1 species
CGCCCUCCCUCCGGCCGCCAUCGAGACUCGUAGGGGCAGCAGUGGGGAAUCUUGCGCAAUGCGCGAAAGCGUGACGCAGCAACGCCGCGUGGGGGAAGACGGGCCUUCGGGUUGUAAACCCCUUUCAGUUGGGACGAAGCUCCGCCGGUGAAUAGCCGGCUGGAGUGACGGUACCUUCAGAAGAAGCCCCGGCUAACUACGUGCCAGCAGCCGCGGUAAUAC